CCUACGGGUGGCAGCAGUGAGGAAUAUUGGUCAAUGGGCGCGAGCCUGAACCAGCCAAGUCGCGUGAGGGAAGACGGUCCUAUGGAUUGUAAACCUCUUUUGUCGGGGAGCAAAAGACGCCACGCGUGGCGUUCCGAGAGUACCCUAAGAACAAGCAUCGGCUAACUCCGUGCCAGCAGCCGCGGUACUACGGAGGAUGCGAGCGUUAUCCGGAUUUAUUGGGUUUAAAGGGUGCGCAGGCGGAAGAUCAAGUCAGCGGUAAAAUUGAGAGGCUCAACCUCUUCGAGCCGUUGAAACUGGUGUUCUUGAGUGAGUGAGAAGUAUGCGGAAUGCGUGGUGUAGCGGUGAAAUGCAUAGAUAGCACGCAGAACUCCGAUUGCGAAGGCAGCAUACCGGCGCUCAACUGACGCUCAUGCACGAAAGUGUGGGUAUCGAACAGGAUUAGAUACCCUAGUAGUC
rnacentral:rRNA from 1 species